GCCUUCGUGGUGUAACGGUUAACACACUCGGCGUAUAUUCGAGAGGUUUAGGCUCGAGUCCUGGAGCAGGCA
rnacentral:tRNA from 1 species